rnacentral:tRNA from 1 species
GGUGGUUCCGUGGUAGAACUUUCGCUUUCCAUGUGAGAGACCUGGGUUCAAUUUCCAGCC